GACGAACGCUGGCGGCGUGCUUAACACAUGCAAGUCGAACGAAGAGCGAUGGAAGCUUGCUUCUAUCAAUCUUAGUGGCGAACGGGUGAGUAACGCGUAAUCAACCUGCCCUUCAGAGGGGGACAACAGUUGGAAACGACUGCUAAUACCGCAUACGAUCUAAUCUCGGCAUCGAGGAUAGAUGAAAGGUGGCCUCUACAUGUAAGCUAUCACUGAAGGAGGGGAUUGCGUCUGAUUAGCUAGUUGGAGGGGUAACGGCCCACCAAGGCGAUGAUCAGUAGCCGGUCUGAGAAGAUGAACGGCCACAUUGGGAAUGAGACACGGCCCAGACUCCUACGGGAGGCAGCAGUGGGGAAUCUUCCGCAAUGGACGAAAGUCUGACGGAGCAACGCCGCGUGAGGGAUGACGGCCCUCGGGUUGUAAAGCUCUGUUAAUCGGGACGAAAGGCCUUCUUGCGAAUAGUGAGAAGGAUUGACGGUACCGGAAGAGAAAGCCACGGCUAACUACGUG
rnacentral:rRNA from 1 species